rnacentral:pre_miRNA from 1 species
GUAAUACUCCCUCCGUCCCAAAAUAAGUGUCUUGAGCUUUGUACAAAUUUGUACUAGAGCUAGUACAAAGUUGAGACACUUAUUUUGGGACGGAGGGAGUAUCUU